CGACCGGCGCACGGGUGCGUAACGCGUAUGCAACCUACCUCUUACUGGGGAAUAGCCCGGAGAAAUCCGGAUUAAUGCCCCAUAGUAUUAUUUAAUCGCAUGAUUUGAAUAAUUAAAGGUUACGGUAAGAGAUGGGCAUGCGUCCUAUUAGCUAGAUGGUAAGGUAACGGCUUACCAUGGCAACGAUAGGUAGGGGGCCUGAGAGGGUGAUCCCCCACACUGGUACUGAGACACGGACCAG
rnacentral:rRNA from 1 species